rnacentral:rRNA from 1 species
ACACGACUACAUUAGAUACCCCGGUAGUCCUAGCCGUAAACGAUACUCGCUAGGUGUCGGCCACGGUGCGACCGUUGUCGGUGCCGUAGGGAAGCCGUGAAGCGAGCCACCUGGGAAGUACGGCCGCAAGGCUGAAACUUAAAGGAAUUGGCGGGGGAGCACCGCAACGGGAGGAGCGUGCGGUUUAAUUGGAUUCAACACCGUAAAACUCACCAGGGAAGACUGUUACAUGAAGGCCGAGAUGAAGACUCUGCUAGAUUUUCAG